rnacentral:rRNA from 1 species
UCGUUGCUACCGAUUGGGUGACGGACAGAGUUCGUUGGACUGCGUUCUCACGAAUGCAGGAAGGCGAGCAAUGUUUAUCAUCUAGAGGAAGCAA